AUUGAACGCUGGCGGCAGGCCUAACACAUGCAAGUCGAGCGGAUGAAGGGAGCUUGCUCCUGGAUUCAGCGGCGGACGGGCGAGUAAUGCCUAGGAAUCUGCCUGGUAGUGGGGGAUAACGUCCGGAAACGGGCGCUAAUACCGCAUACGUCCUGAGGGAGAAAGUGGGGGAUCUUCGGACCUCACGCUAUCAGAUGAGCCUAGGUCGGAUUAGCUAGUUGGUGGGGUAAAGGCCUACCAAGGCGACGAUCCGUAACUGGUCUGAGAGGAUGAUCAGUCACACUGGAACUGAGACACGGUCCAGACUCCUACGGGAGGCAGCAGUGGGGAAUAUUGGACAAUGGGCGAAAGCCUGAUCCAGCCAUGCCGCGUGUGUGAAGAAGGUCUUCGGAUUGUAAAGCACUUUAAGUUGGGAGGAAGGGCAGUAAGAUAAUACCUUGCUGUUUUGACGUUACCAACAGAAUAAGCACCGGCUAACUUCGUG
rnacentral:rRNA from 1 species